UUCUUCGGAGAGUUUGAUCCUGGCUCAGGACGAACGCUGGCGGCGUGCCUAAUACAUGCAAGUCGAGCGAAUCGAUGGGAGCUUGCUCCCUGAGAUUAGCGGCGGACGGGUGAGUAACACGUGGGCAACCUGCCUAUAAGACUGGGAUAACUUCGGGAAACCGGAG
rnacentral:rRNA from 1 species